AAGGUGCUAGUAUAGAUACAAAUACACUGCCUUGUCAAGGCAGAAUCGUGGGUUAAACUCCCGCGCACCUUG
rnacentral:tRNA from 1 species